rnacentral:misc_RNA from 1 species
UCCGACUUACGACGGCAGUAUCCUAUGAGUUCCCGGCAUUACCCGCUGGCAACAUAGAACGAGGGUUGCGCUCGUUAUUGGACUUAACCAAACACCUCACGGCACGAGCUGACGACAGCCAUGCAACAAGUGUCUUCAUGUCUUCCUUGUGAGAAGAGGGCCAUAUUUCUAUGGAUUUCAAUCGAUGUCAAGCCUGGGUAAGGUUCUUCGGUUAGUAUCGAAUUAAUCCACAUGCUCCACCGCUUGUGCGGGGUCCCGUCAAUUCAUUUGAGUUUCAACCUUGCGGCCGUACUCCCCAGGCGGGAUACUUAAUGCGUUAGCUGCGGCACAAGAGGGGUCGAUACCUCUUACGCCUAGUAUCCAUCGUUUAGGGCGUGGACUAC